rnacentral:lncRNA from 1 species
AUACUCCCCAACCUCUCCAUUAUCACAAUCCACGGCACAAACCAACCUACAAAAAACAUUACAAAGCGAAGUCUAAUAGUCCUGUAGCAAAAAAUGAUAAAAUAUCACAAUCUCAAUUUCUAUUAUCACUUAAAAUUCCAAUUUUUUUGCUAUCUUCCAGCAUUUCUCAUAACGACUCCAUCCAUAUUUGAUGAUCAUGAAAUUUCUUCACUACUUCAGCAAAGCGGCUCCAUGUAUGCCCUUCAGCUGCAUCUAGAAUAUGCUCUCUCUCUCUCUCUCUAGAAUAUCUUUUAAGGUAAACCUAAAUUAGAUGCUACCGAAAU